rnacentral:misc_RNA from 1 species
UGGCCCUUAGAUGUGGGGACAGCCUACGAAAAUUUCAAGAACAUUAUGAUAAGGUACAUGAAUUUAAAGUAAUCCAUGGGAGGGGUUUGCAUGUGUGUGCAAAAGAGAGAAAUUAACUGCUUAAAAGUUAUAAAUGUAAUUAGAAUGCACUAUUAGUUCCCUUUAGGAAAGUUGGGUUGAGCAAAAAUUUCCUGUGUGAGCUAGAUAAAUUAAAAACUUUACAAUGCGACUAGAAAACAAUCAAAAUCAGUAAAAUGGCCAUUAAAAGCUAUUUAAAAGCACACUCUCAAUCAAUAAAUAUAAAAACACAGCAAUACCCUUUUGCUUUCAUCCAUGUCAG